rnacentral:rRNA from 1 species
CGGUAACUUUUAAACAUGCAAGUCGAGCGGUAACAGACAUAAAGAUUCAGCUUGCUGAAUCCGGUGCUGACGAGCGGCGAACGGGUGAGUAACGCGUAGGAAUCUACCCAGUAGCGGGGGAUAGCCAGAGGAAACUCUGAUUAAUACCGCAUACGCCCUGAGGGGGAAAGGGGGCAAUUUAUUGCUCUCACUAUUGGAUGAGCCUGCGUAAGAUUAGCUUGUUGGUAGGGUAAAAGCCUACCAAGGCGACGAUCUUUAGCUGGUCUGAGAGGAUGAUCAGCCACAUCGGGACUGAGACACGGCCCGAACUCCUACGGGAGGCAGCAGUGGGGAAUAUUGGACAAUGGGGGCAACCCUGAUCCAGCAAUACCGCGUGUGUGAAGAAGGCCUGAGGGUUGUAAAGCACUUUCAAUUGUGAAGAAAAGUUAGCGGUUAAUAACCGUUAGCCUUGACGUUAACUUAGAAGAAGCACCGGCU